UCUUCACAGUUUUAGACUCGUAUAAAUAUGACAGUUCAUAGUCCUCGAGGCUUCGCAGCAAUCGCUGUCUUCCUUGUCUCCCAUGCUUCUCCCUGCUUCUCCCCAUCUUCACCUUCUCUGCCAUUAGAUCUGUCAUUGAAAAUGAUAAAUUUCACUUCUUUGAUUGCCUGGAAAGCUUCACAACUCUCGGAUUCCGAUUCUUCUUAUUAAUUACACAAUUCCAGUAUCGAUUCUUCUUCCCUGGAUCUAGUUCUCAUCGGAUCGUGAUUGGAGAUGGAAGGUGGUGGUGGUGAUGGUGGAAUGAAAUUGGGGACUUUGAGGUUGAGGGACGAUCGAGGUCCCCGCGUUGGACAAUUUGGAACAGAGGCGUCUACUUUGGAUGUUGAGGUCUCUGUUUCUUCGCCGGUGACUCGUCAGAAAGCUGCUGCAGCUAAGCAGUUUAUUGAGAAUCAUUAUAAGAACCAUCUUCAAGGCCUUCAAGAUCGUAAAGAGAGACGGUGGGCACUUCAAAGGAGAGCAAAAGAAGCUCAAAUUUCAAAUGAGGAACAGCAAGAGAUGAUGAGGAAUUUGGAACAGAGAGAGACUGAGUAUAUGCGAUUGCAAAGACAUAAAGUGGGCAUCGACGACUUUGAGCUAUUAGCAGUAAUUGGAAAAGGUGCAUUCGGUGAGGUAAGACUUUGCCGUGCUAAAAACACUGGAGAAGUUUUUGCCAUGAAGAAGUUGAAGAAAUCAGAAAUGCUUAGUCGUGGACAGGUUGAGCAUGUUAGAUCUGAGAGGAACUUACUAGCUGAGGUUGACAGCCAUUCCAUUGUAAAACUAUUCUAUUCUUUCCAAGAUUCUGAAUUUCUUUACCUUAUCAUGGAGUAUUUACCUGGUGGUGACAUCAUGACCCUUCUAAUGAAAGCGGAUGUUCUUUCUGAAGAUGUUUCACGAUUUUACAUAGCAGAGAGCAUUCUAGCCAUUCAUUCUAUUCACCAGCAUAACUAUAUUCACAGGGACAUAAAGCCAGAUAACUUGUUGUUGGACAAAAAUGGACAUUUGAAGCUCUCAGAUUUUGGCUUGUGUAAGCCCCUGGAUUGUAAAUAUUCAACAAUUUUGAUGGAUAAUGAAGUCUUCAGUAUACAGGAAUCGGACAAAAUUGAAACUGAAGGACAUUCUGACAGAGGUCCUUGGCUAAUGCCAAAAGAACAAUUACAGCAAUGGAAACGCAAUCGACGAGUAUUGGCUUAUUCUACUGUUGGAACUCUUGAUUAUAUGGCCCCUGAAGUAUUGCUGAAGAAAGGAUAUGGAGUGGAAUGUGAUUGGUGGUCUUUGGGGGCAAUAAUGUAUGAGAUGCUUAUAGGUUAUCCUCCCUUCUGUUCAGAUGAUCCAAGGAUGACGUGCAAAAAGCAGAUAAUAAACUGGAGAACAUGCUUGAAAUUCCCUGAGGAACCAAAAAUAUCAGAAGAGGCUAGAGAUCUGAUAUACCGUUUACUAUGUGAUGUUGACUCAAGGUUGGGGACCAGAGGAGUAGAGGAAAUAAAGGCACACCCAUGGUUUAGAUGGAUUCAAUGGGACAUGUUGUACGAAAUGGAAGCUGCCUACAAGCCCACAGUGAAUGGAGAAUUAGAUACUCAAAAUUUUGAGAAGUUUGAUGAAGUAGAAGGUCCAUCAUCAACAUUGCCAAGAGUAGGGCCUUGGCGCAAGAUGUUGACAUCAAAAGAUGCCAAUUUCAUAGGGUACACUUACAAGAAAUCAGAUGUGCGAAAAUCAAUUGGAACUUCAGUUGCUGUCCUGCUUCCUGGAAAGGAUGAGUAAUCUUUGAUAUCUUUUCUGUUUAAAAUGGAAAAGAAAUAUUAAGUUCAUUUCCAUGCACCUUGCCAGUGAUAACAGACUUAUGGGACUUGCAGGUACAGACCUGAAACCAAAUCGUUCCUCUAAGACAUCCUCCAUUGUUUCCUUGUUUGGGCAAGUUGAUCUGCAAGAAAGCGUGAAUCCAAAUGGUGAUGACGCCUGUUAAUAUUUUCUAGUUUCUUUCCUAUUAGAGCAAGCAUUCCUUUUUUCUUAUGUCUCAUCCAAGAAGCUGUUGUAGGAAGUGAAAAAGCUUUUUUUUUUUCCUCUCGAUUGUUCUUCACAAAUGUGGAUAUAUAGCUGAUCUAGUCCUGGUCACCUUUGUCCCUCCAAAAAAAAUUUUGUUAUGUAAAUGAUUUCACAGGAAGAAUAUGACUUCCUUUAUGUUCCCUUGAAAUGUUUUGUAAGGAUAUGGAUAGGAAGUAACAUUCAGUUUUUCCAA